AACGAACGCUGGCGGCAGGCCUAACACAUGCAAGUCGAGCGAGGACUUCGGUCCUAGCGGCGGACGGGUGAGUAACGCGUGGGAACGUGCCCUUUGCUUCGGAAUAGCCCUGGGAAACUGGGAGUAAUACCGGAUGAGCCCUUUGGGGGAAAGAUUUAUCGGCGAAGGAUCGGCCCGCGUUGGAUUAGGUAGUUGGUGGGGUAAUGGCCUACCAAGCCGACGAUCCAUAGCUGGUUUGAGAGGAUGAUCAGCCACACUGGGACUGAAACACGGCCCAGACUCCUACGGGAGGCAGCAGUGGGGAAUCUUAGACAAUGGGGGAAACCCUGAUCUAGCCAUGCCGCGUGAGCGAUGAAGGCCUUAGGGUUGUAAAGCUCUUUCAGCUGGGAAGAUAAUGACGGUACCAGCAGAAGAAGCCCCGGCUAACUCCGUG
rnacentral:rRNA from 1 species